rnacentral:lncRNA from 1 species
UUCAUAUUGAAAUUUAUAACCAAACUUUUAUACAAACAACAAACCAGAACACUUCACAUCUUUUUAUUCUAAACUCUAUUCACAUCAAAAGGGAGAUAUCAAAGAAGAUAAAGUUUCAGUCCAUCUUGGCCGUACUCACGGCCCCUCUCGAGAUUGUCUUCUUCUCCCACAAAAAUCAUUCUCCAACUCUUCCUCCUCAGCUCCUUAGCGGGGUCCUGAAAUGGUUUUCCCCAAACUGGGAUGAGACUACGUCUCAGCGAGUUCUACCCCACUAAGCCCAAUUAGUAAACCAUUAUACUAAAGGCUGCCUAAACACGCAUAGGUCAGAAGACAUACCUUAGCAUCAGAUCCCACCUGCAAGUCAGUACAAUUCACAAUAGGCACUCAAGCAAUCGUAUCACCGAUCAAAGCAUCGAUCAAAUCGACCUAGUCGAUUACAAGCCAACAAGACCACUCACGGUCAUUCCCAUUCAGUCAAUCAAUUCACAACAUCAAAUCAAAACAAUGAUCAAUCGACCUCGUCGAUUACAUAUCAACCUGACCAUUUCCCGGUCAUUCAAGCUAUUGCUAUUCAGAGUCCCACUCGACCACUUUCCAGAUUCAAUGGCUUUACGGUCCCACUCGACCACUUGCAAGAUUCAAUGGCUUUACGGUCCCACUCGACCACUUGCAAGAUUCAAUGGCUUUACGGUCCCACUCGACCACUUUCCAGAUUCAAUGGCUUUACGGUCCCACUCGACCACUUGCAAGAUUCAAUGGCUUUACGGUCCCACUCGACCACUUUCAAGAUUCAAUGGCUUUACGGUCCCACUCGACCACUUGCAAGAUUCAAUGGCUUUACGGUCCCACUCGACCACUUUCAAGAUUCAAUGGCUUUACGGUCCCACUCGACCACUUGCAAGAUUCAAUGGCUUUACGGUCCCACUCGACCACUUUCAAGAUUCAAUGGUUUCUCAACGAAAUAAUUAACCACAAUGAUUUAGGAACAUAUCCUAAAUUCCACAUUCAAUUCAAUUUGGCACAAUUCAAAGCUCAAAUAAAUAAACAGACUGCGCCACGACAAUCGGCACGAGAUUUCGGUCGUCGGCCAUCUCAAUUUCAAUUUCCGAAAAUAAUUAAUUUAUAAAUAUUAAAAAUUCCAUUUAGCUCAAAAUAACGCCCAAUUAAAUAAACGGACUUCACCACGAUCAUCAGCAUAAAUUUCCGGUCACGGGCCAUCCCAGUUGAAUUUUCGGAAAAUAAAUAAAUAAAUAAUAAAUUUCGAAAAUUAAAUAAUUAACAUUAAAAAUCUAAUUUAGUUCAAAAUAAAGCCCGAUUAAACAAACGAACUCCACCACCGUCAUCAGCAUAAUUUUCCGGUUCCUGGCCUUCUCAGUUGAAUUUUCGGAAAGUAAAUAAAUAAUUAAUUUAAUUUCGAAAAAUAAUCUUUAAAUGCCAAUAAUCCCACUUAGGCCCGAAUCGCCAAAUUCAAGCCCAAUUAGGGGUCGGAAAAUUCCCGAGAUGCUUCCAAUAAAUAGUAGACCACGUCUACUUGUUAAUUGCACAAUCAAUCUAUUUAAAUCGCAUCACAAUUGACUAAUAAUUGCUAAUUUAUUCUAAUCUAACAACCUAAACAUAAUUAAUUAAAACUAAACCAACCUUAAGCAUAAUUAGCCAACUAAUCCGAGAUUAGUGAGAUUACUCACCAAAUCGGAUCAAUCCGACGGCGGCGACGCGAGGAACAAUUGUUCCCAAAGCGACUCACGGAUCCGAGGCCCGGAAACGGCCCAAAACGGCCUUGAACCAGCUGGAAACCCACUCGCGGGUUUGCUGCACGGGGCUGAUCGGGGCUGCUUCGGCGGCUAGGGCGGCGAGGGGAAGCCGGCGGAGGGCGAGAGGGACGCGGGAGAGGUCCGGCGGGGCUGGGCGGUGGCUGGAGAUGACCGGACGGGGCUGGAACAGGAGCGAACAGAGCUGGGUCCGCUCGGGGAAAGCGCUGCAGCGAGCGACGGACGGCGGGAUGGCGAGCAGCGAGCACACGGGCGCGGCGCGGGUGCGGGCGGCGGUGCGGCGGCGGGACGGUGGCAACGACGAGCUGCGCUGCUUCUGCUUCGGGCUUCUGGUUCGCACGCGAAGAAAAGAAGGAGAAGAAGAAGAAGUUGGUUCUGUCGUGUGCGGGAAAGGAAGAAGAGAGAGGAGAGGAUAUGCAUUGACUGGUCAAAAAGGGAAGAGAGAGAGAAUAGGCGGUGGGGAAU